AUUGAACGCUGGCGGCAUGCCUUACACAUGCAAGUCGAACGGCAGCACGGGAGCAAUCCUGGUGGCGAGUGGCGAACGGGUGAGUAAUAUAUCGGAACGUGCCCCGUCGUGGGGGAUAACGCAGCGAAAGCUGUGCUAAUACCGCAUACGAUCUAAGGAUGAAAGCGGGGGAUCGCAAGACCUCGCGCGAUUGGAGCGGCCGAUAUCAGAUUAGCUAGUUGGUGGGGUAAAGGCCCACAAAGGCGACGAUCUGUAGCUGGUCUGAGAGGACGACCAGCCACACUGGAACUGAGACACGGUCCAGACUCCUACGGGAGGCAGCAGUGGGGAAUUUUGGACAAUGGGCGCAAGCCUGAUCCAGUAAUGCCGCGUGCAGGAUGAAGGCCUUCGGGUUGUAAACUGCUUUUGUACGGAACGAAACGGCCCUUUCUAAUACAGGGGGCUAAUGACGGUACCGUAAGAAUAAGCACCGGCUAACUACGUGCCAGCAGCCGCGGUAA
rnacentral:rRNA from 1 species